rnacentral:rRNA from 1 species
GACGAACGCUGGCGGCGUGCCUAACACAUGCAAGUCGAACGGAAAGGCCCUGCUUUUGUGGGGUUAUCGAGUGGCGAACGCGUGAGUAACACGUGAGUAACCUGCCCUUGACUUUGGGAUAACUUCAGGAAACUGGGGCUAAUAUCGGAUAGGAGCUCCUGCUGCGUGGUGGGGGUUGGAAAGUUUCGGCGGUUGGGGAUGGACUCGCGGCUUAUCAGCUUGUUGGUGGGGUAGUGGCUUACCCAGGCUUUGACGGGUAGCCGGCCUGAGAGGGUGACCGGCGACAUGGGUACUGAGGGACGGACCAGACUCGUAUGGGAGGCAGCAGGGGGGAAUAUUGCACAAUGGGCGGAAGUCUGAUGCAGCAGCGCCGCGUGCGGGAUGCCGGCCUUCGGGUUGUGAACCGCUUUCGCCUGUGACGAAGCGUGAGUGACGGUACUGGGUAAAGAAGCACCGGCUAACUACGUG